UACGUAGGCAGCAAGCGUUGUUCGGAUUUACUGGGCGUAAAGGGUGCGUAGGCGGUCGGGUAAGUCUGACGUGAAAUCUCCAAGCCUAACUUGGAAACUGCGUUGGAUACUCUCCGGCUAGAGGAAUGGAGGGGAGACUGGAAUACUUGGUGUAGCAGUGAAAUGCGUAGAGAUCGGGAGGAACAUCUGUGGCGAAGGCGGCCACCUGGACCAGCACUGACACUGAGGCACGAAAGCGUGGGGAGCAAACAGG
rnacentral:rRNA from 1 species